AGGCCUGCAGAGAGAGAGGCAGGGUCUGAUCUGCAGCCUCAGUGGCAGCUGUUGAUCAGCCAUUGCCUCUCAUUUUCUCUCUG
rfam:Myotis lucifugus cont2.16173, whole genome shotgun sequence.